GAUCCUGGCUCAGGAUGAACGCUAGCUACAGGCUUAACACAUGCAAGUCGAGGGGAAACGACAUCGAAAGCUUGCUUUUGAUGGGCGUCGACCGGCGCACGGGUGAGUAACGCGUAUCCAACCUGCCCACCACUUGGGGAUAACCUUGCGAAAGUAAGACUAAUACCCAAUGACAUCCCACGAAGACAUCUGAAUGGGAUUAAAGAUUCAUCGGUAACGGAUGGGGAUGCGUUCCAUUAGG
rnacentral:rRNA from 1 species